rnacentral:rRNA from 1 species
AGAAGUAAAAGUCGUAACAAGGUUUCCGUAGGUGAACCUGCGGAAGGAUCAUUAAUGAUUAACUGUCUGUCGAGCUUGCUCACAGACUUAUCAUAUCCAUAACACCUGUGCACUUGUCGGAUGGCUUAGUGAAGACCGCAAGGUUGGAACUAUCCAUCUACUUUACAUAACAAUUUAGUAACAAAUGUAGUCUUAUUAUAACAUAAUAAAACUUUCAACAACGGAUCUCUUGGCUCUCGCAUCGAUGAAGAACGCAGCGAAAUGCGAUAAGUAAUGUGAAUUGCAGAAUUCAGUGAAUCAUCGAAUCUUUGAACGCACCUUGCGCUCCCUGGUAUUCCGGGGAGCAUGCCUGUUUGAGUGUCAUGAAAACCCUCAACCUUAGAUUGGUUAACACCUUUCUUUGGCUUGGAUUUGGACGUUUGCCGAUGAUAAGUCGGCUCGUCUUAAAAGUAAUAGCUGGAUCUGUCUCGCGACAUGGUUUGACUUGGCGUAAUAAGUAUUUCGCUAAGGACAUCUUCGGAUGGCCGCGUUGCAAGACUAAAGACCGCUUUCUAAUCCAUUGAUCUUCGGAUUAAUAUUCUUGACAUCUG